rnacentral:rRNA from 1 species
GACGAACGCUGGCGGCGUGCCUAAUACAUGCAAGUCGAACGCAGUGGGGACGGGUGAGUAACACGUGGGUAACCUCCCAUCAGAGGGGAUAACACUUGGCAACAGGUGCUAAACCGCUACUGAUGGAUGGACCAGGGGGGCAUUAGCUAGUUGGUGGGGUAACGGCCAACCAAGGCCACGAUGCAUAGCCGACCGGAGAGGGGGAUCGGCCACACGGGGACUGAGACACGGCCCAGACUCCUACGGGAGGCAGCAGUGGGGAAUCUUGGGCAAUGGACGAAAGUCUGACCGAGCAACGCCGCGUGAGUGAAGAAGGUUUUCGGGUUGUAAAACUCUGUUGGUAGGGAAGCGGUACCUACAGAGAAAGCAACGGCUAACUACGUGCCAGCAGCCGCGGUAAUUC